CCUGAGAAACCCAAAAGAUCGAAUGGGGAGACUCAACGACUGCGAUCCUGGCGCUCGYGYGGUUCGCGAUGCUACGUGGCCUCGGCCCCGUGGCACGCGUCCGUAUGUGCUUAUUCGCCGGGUGUCGCCGUCGCGCACUUCUCCCCUAGUAGGACGUCGCGACCCGUUGGGUGUCGGUCUACGGCCCGGGUGGGCGCCUGUCGUUUGUCACGCCUCGCGGCGUCAUGCGGCAGACCCCCGGUCGCCCGAGCAGCUGCCCGGCGGUAYYCGCACGGUAUCGGGCCGCAACUUGUUGCGUCAGGCCCGUCGCAAGCUUGGCCAGUGUACAACCCGGAUGCGCGGACCCAGUGCCGCCACCGGGCCUGGCCGGCUGUUGGCCGACGGUGUCCUAAGACAGGCUCUUUCGAAAUUCACAAAAUACCGGUCGGCGACGCUACUGCUUUGGGUACUUUCAGGACCCGUCUUGAAACACGGA
rnacentral:rRNA from 1 species